UCUCGAAUAGUAUAACGGUGAGUAUCCCCGCCUGUCACGCGGGAGAUCUGGGUUCGAUUCCCAGUUCGAGAG